rnacentral:rRNA from 1 species
GACGAACGCUGGCGGCGUGCCUAAUACAUGCAAGUAGAACGCUGAAGGAGGAGCUUGCUUCUCUGGAUGAGUUGCGAACGGGUGAGUAACACGUAGGUAACCUGCCCGGUAGCGGGGGAUAACUAUUGGAAACGAUAGCUAAUACCGCAUAAUAGUAGAUGUUGCAUGACGUUUGCUUGAAAGGUGCAAUUGCAUCACUACCAGAUGGACCUGCGUUGUAUGAGCUAGUUGGUGAGGUAACGGCUCACCAAGGCGAGGAUGCAUCGCCGACCGGAGAGGGGGAUCAGCCAGACUGAGACUGAGACACGGCCCAGACUGCUACGGGAGGGAGCAGUAGGGAAUCUGCGGCAAUGGAUGGAAGUCUGACCGAGCAACGCCGAGGGAGUGAAGAAGGUUUUCGGAUCGGAAAGCUCGGUUGUAAGAGAAGAACGAGUGUGAGAGUGGAAAGUUCACACUGUGACGGUAUCUGAUCAGAAAGGGACGGCUAACUACGUG